rnacentral:sRNA from 1 species
GCUGGGUGUGGGGUGCACACCUGUAACCUACCAACCUGGGGGGCUGAGGCAGGAGGAUGUCAAGGUUGAGGCCAGCCUUUGCAAGUAGUAAGACCUUGUCUCAA